UGCAAGUCGAGCGGACAGAUGGGAGCUUGCUCCCUGAUGUUAGCGGCGGACGGGUGAGUAACACGUGGGUAACCUGCCUGUAAGACUGGGAUAACUCCGGGAAACCGGGGCUAAUACCGGAUGCUUGAUUGAACCGCAUGGUUCAAUUAUAAAAGGUGGCUUUUACCUACCACUUACAAAUGGACCCCCGGCCCAUUACCUAUUUGGUGAGGUAACGGCUCACCAAGGCAACAAUCCUUACCCAACCUGAAAGGGUGAUCGGCCACACUGGAACUGAAACACGGCCCAAACUCCAACGGAAGGCACCAUUAGGAAACCUUCCCCAAGGAACAAAAUUCUAACGAACCACCGCCCCGUGAUUGAUGAAGGUUUUCGAAUCGAAAAACUCUGUUGUUAGGAAAAAACAAUUACCGUUCAAAUAGGGCGGUACCUUGACGGUACCUAACCAAAAAGCCACGGCUAACUACUUGCCACCACCCGCGGUAAUACUUAGGUGGCAAGCGUUGUCCGAAAUUAUUGGGCGUAAAGCGCGCGCAGGCGGUUUCUUAAUUCUAAUGUGAAACCCCCCGGCUCACCCGGGAAGGGUCAUUGAAAACUGGGGAACUUGAUUGCAAAAAAGGAAAGUGAAAUUCCACUUGUACCGUUGAAAUGCUUAAAGAUGUGAAGAACCACCAUUGCCAAAGGCAACUCUCUGGUCUGUACCUGACCCUAAGG
rnacentral:rRNA from 1 species